AUAAGCGGAGGAAAAGAAACUAACAAGGAUUCCCCUAGUAACGGCGAGUGAAGCGGGAAGAGCUCAAAUUUAAAAUCUGGCGGUGUAUUCCGUCCGAGUUGUAGUCUAGAGAAGCAUCAUCCGCGCCGGACCAUGUACAAGUCUCUUGGAACAGAGCGUCAUAGAGGGUGAGAAUCCCGUCCUUGACAUGGACUCCCGGUGCUUUGUGUUGUGCUCUCAACGAGUCGAGUUGUUUGGGAAUGCAGCUCAAAAUGGGUGGUAAAUUCCAUCUAAAGCUAAAUAUUGGCGAGAGACCGAUAGCGAACAAGUACCGUGAGGGAAAGAUGAAAAGCACUUUGGAGAGAGAGUUAAACAGUACGUGAAAUUGUUGAAAUGGAAACGCUUGAAGUCAGUCGCGUUCUCUGGGAUUCAGCCUGGCUUCUGCCUGGUGCAUUUCCUAGUCUACGGGCCAGCAUGAAUUUCGACCGAUAGAAAAGGGCUUGAGGAAUGUGGCACCUUCGGGUGUGUUAUAGCCUCUUGUCGUAUGUGUCGGUUGGGAUUGAGG
rnacentral:rRNA from 1 species